AAUCAUCUUCACCAGUUGUGAAUAAUCCCAAAAUAUUACCACAUGAGUACCACCACUUGAUUGCGUUCCACCUUUGGUAUAAUCACGUAGGUUUGGACAUUACUAAUCAUUUUACGGAUAAUAUUUCUUCUCUUUUUCUUAUACCUUAAAUAUACCUACUUGAGCAUCAUCUUCAAUUUUAAAAUCACGUAAGUUUUGUACAUUACAAAUCAUUUUGUUUUGCGGAUGCUAUUUAGUAUUUAUACUCUAGCUUGUUUAUAUUAAAAAGAAUAAUUCUUGGGUUCAUCCAUUAGGUUCAUCGUUGACAUAAUAACUAAUGAAAAUUUAUCAAUCUUUUUUUAAAGUAAAAACAAAUAAAAAAAAAAGAAUUUUACCUGGAUUUAUUCCAUAAGGUGAACUUGUAGAUUCACCAAAUAAUAGUAUUUUGUUAUUUUAUAUUCAUUAUCUCGAAAAAAACAAAAUAAUAAUAAUUUGCUAAGUCAUAUUAUAUUUUUAAAAUAAAAAGAUAAAAUAAAUAAAAAAUAAUAGUACUUGUCAAAAAAAAGAAUUAUUUUUUAACAUUGUUAGCACCGUCAAUAAAACACUAAACUUUUAGGUAAACGCUAAAUCUUUGGAUAAAUCCUAAACCCUAAAUCAUAAACACUAAACAUUAAAUCUUAAAUCCUAAAUACUAAACCCUAAAUUCUUCGAUAAAUCUUAAGCCGUUGGAUAAAUCCUAAACCCUAAAUCACUUAACCUUAAAUCCUAAACACUAAACCCUAAACCCUUGGGUAAACCCUAAACCUUUGGAUAAAUCAUAACCCUAAAUCAUAUACACUAAACACUAGGAUUUAUUAUUUAUCCAAAUGUUUAGAGUUUAAGGUUAAGGGUUAAGUGUUUGGUGUUUAGGGUUUAGUGUUUUGUUGACGGCGUUAAAAAUAUUUCAAUUUUUUUUUGACAAUGACUACUAUUUUUAUUUUAUUUUAUCUUUUUU
rnacentral:lncRNA from 1 species